CGAAAGGUCCAGAGGCGGGCUGCUGCUACCCACUGCGGGAGACAGUCCUCAGCCCUCGCCAAACGCUUCCCGCCAGAGGGCCGGGGAGGAACCUCCUUCGCCAUGAUUUCACCGCGCUCCGCCGGCCGCUGGGGUCCCCGGGAAAUGAAGCCAGGCAGCUGCCAGCCGGCCUCCUAACUCCUUCUUCCUCUCAGAUGGAGGGGCUAUGUAAGAAUGAAUAUGAGUGGCAGCUGACAGCCAGCCAACAACAAAGACCUCAGUCCUACAACCUCAAAGACUGGAUUCUACCAACACCUUGAAUGAAUUUGAAAGUAGAAUCUUCCUCAGAGCCUUCAGAUAAGAGCCCUGAUGGCUGACGUCUUAAUUUCAACUUUGGAGUACACUGAGCAGAACCCAGAAGUGCCCACCUGGAUUCUUCACCUACAGAAAUGUGACAGAGAAAGAGACACGGGGAGGAUGACCGCCUAGCACCAGGUCUAUUAAGAUAUUUCUGCAUUUUUCUAAAUUAAUCAUUCCCACAUCUGGAGAAACAGAGGACAACAAUUUUUAGCACCUUAUUUAUAAAGGCAGAAAACCCAAAAGCCAGAGAAGGUA